rnacentral:rRNA from 1 species
GGACUACAGGGGUAUCUAAUCCUGUUUGCUCCCCCUGCUUUCGCGCCUCAGCGUCAGUUGAGUCCCAGGGAUCCGCCUUCGCCACCGGUGUUCUGUAGGAUAUCAACGCAUUUCACCGCUACACCCUACGUUCCGAUCCCCCCUCCCUCACUCGAGCCGCGCAGUUUGGGGCGCACUUCCCGGGUUGAGCCCGGGGAUUUCACACCCCACACACGCGGCCGCCUACGCGCCCUUUACGCCCAGUAAAUCCGAACAACGCUAGGGACCUCUGUAUUACCGCGGCGGCUGGCAC